UUUCAACUUCUAACACGAUUCAUCCAACAAAAUUUCAGCAUUCACAAUUCCCAAUUAGGGUCAAUCAACAGCUUAUCACUACCCAUGACAUAUUAUCCCACAAUACCCAUUAAUCGACGAUAAACCCCCCUUACCUGAGUUAAUCCGGCGAAUCUUUAAGCUCACGCUCUUCCUUCUUCAACCUUUAGCCCUUGCUCUGUCUCUUUGCCCUUUUCCUCUUCUCUCACGAUCGUUCUC
rnacentral:lncRNA from 1 species